rnacentral:rRNA from 1 species
AGAACGAACGCUGGCGGCAUGCCUAAUACAUGCAAGUCGAACGAACACUUCGGUGUUAGUGGCGCACGGGUGCGUAACGCGUGGGAAUCUGCCCUUGGGUUCGGAAUAACAGUUGGAAACGACUGCUAAUACCGGAUGAUGACGAAAGUCCAAAGAUUUAUCGCCCAGGGAUGAGCCCGCGUAGGAUUAGCUAGUUGGUGAGGUAAAGGCUCACCAAGGCGACGAUCCUUAGCUGGUCUGAGAGGAUGAUCAGCCACACUGGGACUGAGACACGGCCCAGACUCCGUACGGGAGCAGCAGUAGGGAUAUGACAA